UUUAUAUAGUUUUAAAUUUAUGCAUAGGUUGAUUUGAGUGAAGGGUUAAUUUGAACUUAUUUUUUGUUUUAAAAUUGUGGGUGAAAAUAUGUGCAGAAAGUAUUUAUGUAAUUGGAUGGGUGAGUGGUAUUUAUUAAAUUAAAGAAAGCUAAGAAGAAGGAAAAGAGGAAAAGUAGAGGAGAGUUAGAAAGAAAAGAUUCUUAAUUAAAAAAUGAAAAAGGGAAAGUUUGUGUGCAUCAAAUUCCCUGUCCCUCUUCUCCUUCAAGCUUUCAUUGCCAUUUUUCUUCUUUCUUUAUUCUUCUGUUACAAAAAAUUACCUCAAAAAGAAGGCUAAGUGUCUCUAAUAUUCCUAUCAAUAUCCCUUUUGUCUGCUCCUUCAACACUAACACACAACUCACCCACAAUAUUAUUAAAGGUUUAGAAGCUCUAAAUAAACUUCAAAAUGACAUUUUUUUUCAGAUAAUUUUUGUUCGUUUGAU
rnacentral:lncRNA from 1 species